rnacentral:rRNA from 1 species
AGUGAACGCUGGCGGUAUGCCUAACACAUGCAAGCCGAACGGCAGCACAGUAAGAGCUUGCUCUUACGGGUGGCGAGUGGCGGACGGGUGAGGAAUACAUCGGAAUCUACUUUUUCGUGGGGGAUAACGUAGGGAAACUUACGCUAAUACCGCAUACGACCUACGGGUGAAAGCAGGGGAUCUUCGGACCUUGCGCGAUUGAAUGAGCCGAUGUCGGAUUAGCUAGUUGGCGGGGUAAAGGCCCACCAAGGCGACGAUCCGUAGCUGGUCUGAGAGGAUGAUCAGCCACACUGGAACUGAGACACGGUCCAGACUCCUACGGGAGGCAGCAGUGGGGAAUCUUCGACAAUGGGCGCAAGCCUGACGCAGCCAUACCGCGUGGGUGAAGAAGGCCUUCGGGUUGUAAAGCCCUGUUAUUGGGAAAGAAAAGCAGCAGGUUAAUACCUGGCUGUUCUGACGGUACCCAAAGAGAAAGCACCGGCUAACUUCGUG